rnacentral:rRNA from 1 species
GGCGGCAUNCCUUACACAUGCAAGUCGAACGGCAGCACGGACUUCGGUCUGGUGGCGAGUGGCGAACGGGUGAGUAAUACAUCGGAACGUGCCUAGUAGUGGGGGAUAACUACUCGAAAGAGUGGCUAAUACCGCAUGAGAUCUACGGAUGAAAGCAGGGGAUCGCAAGACCUUGUGCUACUAGAGCGGCUGAUGGCAGAUUAGGUAGUUGGUGGGAUAAAAGCUUACCAAGCCGACGAUCUGUAGCUGGUCUGAGAGGACGAUCAGCCACACUGGGACUGAGACACGGCCCAGACUCCUACGGGAGGCAGCAGUGGGGAAUUUUGGACAAUGGGCGCAAGCCUGAUCCAGCAAUGCCGCGUGCAGGAUGAAGGCCUUCGGGUUGUAAACUGCUUUUGUACGGAACGAAAAGCUUCGGGCUAAUACCCUGGAGUCAUGACGGUACCGUAAGAAUAAGCACCGGCUAACUACGUGCCAGCAGCCNNCGGUAAUAAAAA